CGAUGAGGGUGGAGGGGACGCCGAAGACGAUGUGGUUCCAGAAGGUGAGGUCAUAAGCGUUGCGCGGCGCCCGGCGCGCCUGUUCACACACGAUCAGGUUCGCUGCCGAUCCCAGAAGAGAUAGGUUACCCGCUACCGUGCUCACCCACGCCAGCAGCAGCCACGAUCGCGUCACCGCCGCCGGGGAGAUCAGCGCCGCCGCGGCGGCCACCUCCCCGCCCAUCAGCAGCACUGCCAGCACCGCACCGACAACCAAGGUCAGCUGGAUCGGAAGAACAAAGGCGAGAGCAUAGUAACCAAGUACAUUUUGCCUGGCAGUUGUGUCGACAUUCUGUUGGACUUGGUUGGAGUAUAAAAGAAUUUAAAGCUUUUAAAUCUGGAGGAUAUAUGUAGUGUGUGCUCAAGGUAUUUGUUCAGUCCGGGUGCACUCAAACAGUACUCCAAGCAGCAGGACAUGCCGUACGGUGGCACCGCGAGGGCCACUAGCUCAAGAUCAAAGGUGAACUGCUAGCUUUUAUCGAUAUAAAUAAAUCCUCUUC